GGCGGCAUGGCCAAGUGGUAAGGCGGGGGACUGCAAAUCCUUUAUCCCCAGUUCAAAUCCGGGUGUCGCCUGAGCAACAAA
rnacentral:tRNA from 1 species